AUACGUAGGCAGCAAGCGUUGUUCGGAAUUACUGGGCGUAAAGCGAGUGUAGGCGGUCCACCAAGUCUGUUGUGAAAUCUCCCGGCCCAACUGGGAGGGUGCGGCGGAAACUGGUGGACUCGAGUGCGAGAGGGGAGAGUGGAAUUCCUGGUGUAGCGGUGAAAUGCGUAGAUAUCAGGAGGAACACCGGUGGUGAAGACGGCUCUCUGGAUCGCUACUGACGCUGAGACUCGAAAGCGUGGGGAGCAAACAGGAUUAGAAACCCCAGUAGUCC
rnacentral:rRNA from 1 species